UGAGAAAUCAUUGCUAAUACCGCAUAUGCCAUAAUUAUCACAUGAUAAUAGUGGGAAAGGAGCAAUUCGCUAAAAGAUGGCCUUGCGUCUGAUUAGAUAGUUGGUAAGGUAACGGCUUACCAAGUCGACGAUCAGUAGCCGGACUGAGAGGUUGAACGGCCACAUUGGGACUGAGAUACGGCCCAGACUCCUACGGGAGGCAGCAGUCGGGAAUAUUGCGCAAUGGAGGAAACUCUGACGCAGUGACGCCGCGUAUAGGAAGAAGGUUUUCGGAUUGUAAACUAUUGUCGUUAGGGAAGAGAAAGGACAGUACCUAAGGAGGAAGCUCCGGCUAACUACGUGCCAGCAGCCGCGGUAAUACGUAGGGAGCGAGCGUUAUCCGGAAUUAUUGGGUGUAAAGGGUGCGUAGACGGGAAAGCAAGUUAGUUGUGAAAUCCCUCGGCUUAACUGAGGAACUGCAACUAAAACUACUUUUCUUGAGUGCAGGAGAGGUAAGUGGAAUUCCUAGUGUAGCGGUGAAAUGCGUAGAUAUUAGGAGGAACACCAGUGGCGAAGGCGACUUACUGGACUGUAACUGACGUUGAGGCACGAAAGUGUGGGGAGCAAACAGGAUUAGAUACCCUGGUAGUCCACACCGUAAACGAUGGAUACUAGGUGUAGGAGAUAUUAAGUCUUCUGUGCCGUCGCAAACGCAAUAAGUAUCCCACCUGGGGAGUACGGCCGCAAGGUUGAAACUCAAAGGAAUUGACGGGGGCCCGCACAAGCAGUGGAGUAUGUGCUUUAAUUCGAAGCAACGCGAAGAACCUUACCAGGGCUUGACAUAUACAGGAAUAUACUAGAGAUAGUAUAGCUCUUCGGAGCUUGUAUACAGGUGGUGCAUGGUUGUCGUCAGCUCGUGUCGUGAGAUGUUGGGUUAAGUCCCGCAACGAGCGCAACCCCUGUCCUUAGUUACCAGCAAGUAAAGUUGGGGACUCUAAGGAGACUGCCGUAGAUAAUACGGAGGAAGGUGGGGAUGACGUCAAAUCAUCAUGCCCUUUAUGUCCUGGGCUACACACGUACUACAAUGGGUGUAACAGAGGGAAGCGAAAUAGUGAUAUGGAGCGAAACCCAAAAAGCACCCCCAGUUCGGAUUGCAGGCUGAAAUUCGCCUGCAUGAAGCCGGAAUUGCUAGUAAUGGCAGGUCAGCAUACUGCCGUGAAUACGUUCCCGGGCCUUGU
rnacentral:rRNA from 1 species